UUUAAACCUUCAAAGUGACCCCUAAACAACUCCUAAACACUAGGGACACAUGUUGGAAGGUUGGGGUUAGUUGGGGGACUUGUGUGUCAAAAUUUGUUGUGAAACCUUACUAUAAAAGGGCAUGUUUGGUUCAUAACCAACACACAACUCAAAACACACUCCUCUGGUCAUUCUAAAGGCUCUCAAGCAUUUCUCUGUAUACUCUAAGCAAGACCCAACUUCUAAUAGGAGUUAUGCCAAAUGGCGCAAAUUUCGGAACUUUGGAGCCCAGUAAAAGUACUUGCGACUACUGAUUAGAAUAUACGGCUGAGUUAUUAUUCUUGCUAUUUAAGACAGGAGCUAGCU
rnacentral:lncRNA from 1 species